rnacentral:misc_RNA from 1 species
UGGCUCUCGCAUCGAUGAAGAACGCAGCGAAAUGCGAUAAGUAAUGUGAAUUGCAGAAUUCAGUGAAUCAUCGAAUCUUUGAACGCACCUUGCGCUCCUUGGUAUUCCGAGGAGCAUGCCUGUUUGAGUGUCAUUAAAUUCUCAACCACACCAAUUUUGUAAUGAGAUUGUGUGUGGCUUGGAUGUGGGGGUUGCAGGUCCGCUUUGGUGGUCUGCUCCUCUGAAAUGUAUUAGUGGGUUUGGUCCCCUAAUCUAUUAGUGUGAUAAUUAUCUACGCUGUGGAUUGGGAGACGCUUGUGAACCUGCUUCUAACCGUCCCUUACAAGGACAAUCAUUGACAUUUUUGACCUCAAAUCAGGUAAGACUACCCGCUGA